ACGUCCGAAGGGCGCUUCGAUCGCGGUACGUGCGCGGGUCGACGAUACGUCGUUGAGACUUAUUGGCGGCGCGCGCACGACGGUGUCGCUGCGCUGACGGAUAUCGUGUCUGCCUCAUACUUUUUAUCGUUGGCCUCAGAUCAGGGAGGAUCACCCGCCGAAUUUAAGCAUAUUAGUAAGCGGAGGAAAAGAAACUAACCAGGAUUCCCUCAGUAGCGGCGAGCGAACAGGGAUAAGCCCAGCGCCGAAUCCCGCGGUCGUCACGGUCGCGGGACAUGUGGUGUUAGGGAGGUUCCGCUUUCUCGCGGUCGCCGCUCCCGUCCAAGUUCGUCUUGAACGGGGCCGUUUUCCCAUAGAGGGUGCCAGGCCCGUAGCGACGGAGCGAGUCCGCGAGAGGGACUCUCCUCAGAGUCGGGUUGCUUGAGAGUGCAGCCCUAAGUGGGUGGUAAACUCCAUCUAAGGCUAAAUAUAACCGCGAGACCGAUAGCGAACAAGUACCGUGAGGGAAAGUUGAAAAUAACUUUGAAGAGAGAGUUCAAGAGUACGUGAAACCGUUCAGGGGUAAACCUGCGAAACUCGAAUGAACGAACGGAGAGAUUCAUCGUCACUCCGGGGCGUACGGCGGCGUGCCGCGAUGUGCGCGAGACUCGUGCUCGCGUUCACCGGUCGCCGCCGUUGACGCACCCGGACGGCGUGCACUUCUCUCUUAGUACACAUUAUGCAUCGCGACCCGUUCGUCUGUUCGGCCUAAGCGUUGUCCGGGAGCCGGGCGGCUGCGCGUUCACGCGCACAGCCGUCCGACCGUGACGAUCGCCGGCCGGCGGCGGACGGUACUUGUCAUGAAACGCGCACGCGUCUCCAUCCGGGGACGCGUCCGGCCCGACGCGAGCGAGAGUCGUCGUCGACAUCCUGCCCUUGUGCGGAUGCUGACGCGACGCCGCUGUCGUCGCAGCCGUGUAGUCUCGGACUGUGCGCGUAUCAGUCGGCGAUGUUACUGUUUCGGGCACUCGCAGGACCCGUCUUGAAACACGGACCAAGGAGUCUAGCAUGUGUGCGAGUCAUUGAGUUAUGAAUUCAAACAGACAAAACUGAAAGGCGCAACGAAAGUGAAGGCGCGCGCUUGUCGCGCGCUCAGGGAGGAUGGAGCGUCGGUCGUCAAAAAUCGAUCUCUCGCACUCCCGAGGCGUCUCGUUUCCAAUCAGCGAAUGCGGGCGCGCUCUGAGCACAGAUGCUGGGACCCGAAAGAUGGUGAACUAUGCCUGGUCAGGUCGAAGUCAGGGGAAACCCUGAUGGAGGACCGUAGCGAUUCUGACGUGCAAAUCGAUCGUCGGAACUGGGUAUAGGGGCGAAAGACUAAUCGAACCAUCUAGUAGCUGGUUCCGUCCGAAGUUUCCCUCAGGAUAGCUGGCGUCGACUCGUAACAGUCUCAUCCGGUAAAGCGAAUGAUUAGAGGCAUUGGGGCCGAAACGACCUCAACCUAUUCUCAAACUUUAAAUGGGUGAGAACUCCGGCUUACUCGAACGAUGAAGCCGGAGAUCUGAUGACGGUGCCAAGUGGGCCAAUUUUGGUAAGCAGAACUGGCGCUGUGGGAUGAACCAAACGUAGUGUUAAGGCGCCUAAAAAACGCUCAUGGGACACCAUGAAAGGCGUUGGUCGCUCAUGACAGCAGGACGGUGGCCAUGGAAGUCGGAAUCCGCUAAGGAGUGUGCAACGACUCACCUGCCGAAGCGACCAGCCCUGAAAAUGGAUGGCGCUGAAGCGUUUUGCCUAUACACUACCGUUACCGGCAAUCGGCGCGUGCGUGUCAAAGCGCACGCGUAUUAUGCCGUAACGAGUAGGACGUGCGCGGCGGAGUGCGCAGAAGGGUCUGGGCGUGAGCCCGCCUGGAGCCUCCGUCGGUGCAGAUCUUGGUGGUAGUAGCAAAUACUCCAGCGAGGCCCUGGAGGACUGACGUGGAGAAGGGUUUCGCGUGAACAGUAGUUGCUCGCGAGUCAGUCGAUCCUAAGCUCAAGGAGAGAUCUUAUGUCGAUGCGGUGUGUUUAUAUAUAUUUUGUGUAUAUGAUAAAUAACGCCCUUUGAGCGAAAGGGAAUCCGGUUCCUAUUCCGGAACCCGGCAGCGGAACCGUUUCAAUAAUCGUUCUCUCGUUUCUCAAGCGAGUGUUCGACGGGGUAACCCAAAGUGGCCUGAAGACGCCGCCGAGUGGUCCGGGAAGAGUUUUCUUUUCUGCCUGAGCGUUCGAGUUCCAUGGAAUCCUAUAGAAGGGAGAUAUGGUUCGGAACGCGAAGAGCACCGCAUUUGCGGCGGUGUCCGGAUACUCUCUGCGGACCUUGAAAAUUCAGGUGAGGGAUGUACGUGGAGAUGUCGCGCCGGCUCGUACCCAUAUCCGCAGCAGGUCUCCAAGGUGAAGAGCCUCUAGUCGAUAGAAUAAUGUAGGUAAGGGAAGUCGGCAAAUUGGAUCCGUAACUUCGGAAUAAGGAUUGGCUCUGAGGACCGGGGCGUGUCGGGUUUGGACGGGAAGCGGAUGCGGCCGGUGCCGGGCCUGGUCGAUGCUCGCGCGUGUCUCCAUCGCAAGGUGGUCUCGCGCGUCGUGCUGAAUCCGGACCCGCGUUCCGGCCUUUCGCGGAUCUUCCUAGCCGUAAGUCCGCGUCGGUUUCGUCUCGUGCGCGAUCGGCGCGGUACUGUACGACCGCCGUUCAACGGUCAGCUCAGAACUGGCACGGACAAGGGGAAUCCGACUGUCUAAUUAAAACAAAGCAUUGCGAUGGCCCUCGCGGGUGUUGACGCAAUGUGAUUUCUGCCCAGUGCUCUGAAUGUCAACGUGAAGAAAUUCAAGCAAGCGCGGGUAUGGGGGAGGGGAGCCCACUGGGAGGCUACCAGUGCCCCUCCAUUGGCGUCGGACUCGUAGUGGCUUGGCGCCAGGUGUUGAUAGGACAAAUGUGGGGAGAUUGUUGUCCAUUUGUUUGCGUAUAGCAUAUCUCUCAAUAGGAGACGGCCAAGUUGUGUGUGUGUGUGCAAACAAACAACAGGCCAACAUAUAAUAUUAUAAUAACAUAAUAAUAUAAAUAAUAUUAUCAUGAUAUUUCGUCGUGACGGACGCGUCACGCGAUUUCUCAUGAUUAUAAAAUUUUACAAUAUAUUAUUAUUUAUUAUAGUUGAAAGACGUGGUUGAUGUUGUACACGGCGAC